rnacentral:rRNA from 1 species
AACGAACGCUGGCGGCAUGCCUAACACAUGCAAGUCGAACGGGAUCCAGGCUUCGGCCAGGUGAGAGUGGCGGACGGGUGAGUAACACGUGGGAACCUGCCUUUUGGUUCGGGAUAACCGCGGGAAACUGCGGCUAAAUACCGGGUGCUCCCGAGAGGGGAAAGAUUUAUCGCCAGAAGAGGGGCCCGCGUCCGAUUAGGUAGUUGGUGAGGUAAUGGCUCACCAAGCCGACGAUCGGUAGCUGGUCUGAGAGGAUGAUCAGCCACACUGGGACUGAGAUACGGCCCAGACUCCUACGGGAGGCAGCAGUGGGGAAUAUUGGACAAU